rnacentral:rRNA from 1 species
CCCCUUGUGCACACCUUGUAGGCACCCAAACCCACCUAUGUAUUCCUUCAUCUCACACUCUGUUGAAUGGUGCCAUGGGACGCAUCUAAAGGAUUAUUUGUAAAAAAGUAAUCAUAGAAACAACUUUCAACAAUGGAUCUCUUGGCUCUCGCAUCGAUGAAGAACGCAGCGAAAUGCGAUACGUAAUGUGAAUUGCAGAAUUCCGUGAAUCAUCGAAUCUUUGAACGCACCUUGCGCCUCUUGGUAUUCCGAGGGGCAUGCCUGUUUGAGUGUCAUUGAAACCCUCAAGAAGAAAGUCUUUCGGGGCCUUCUUUUUGGAACUGGAGUGUGCUGGCCUUUUCGUGGAAGAGCCCAGCUCCUCUGAAAUGCAUUGGCGAUGUGACAUCCUCAUGCCAUCACGCUUCUCUAGCAUUGAUAGUCUCUUUCAUGCUUUAGUGUGUUGUGCUUAGGUGGAAAGUUUCG